AGUUCGGCGGAAAUCCGUCAGCUAUAACGCUGUCAAGAAAACCCCAAAACCGUAAAUUGAGAGCAAUUCGCCUGGUUCCUCUUUAAAGUUAAACCAGGAAGCUCCGCCGAACUAGAGGUCGAAAAGGGCUGAGUAAAAUACUGCAUUUGAGAGCUUCUCUCCAUUGCAAAGUCCUCCCUCUCUUCUUUU
rnacentral:telomerase_RNA from 13 species